GUUCUAGUGUAGACAUGAGUGAAAUGGUCUCCAUUUCUAAAUCAACAGCCUGCCACCACCUUCUGCAGUGGCUGAAUUUCCUGGGUGGUCUUUAAGAAUUGCCCCAGGAGGUAGGCAUGUCAUAGUCUAAUCCGGAUGUUACAAAGGGCACACACACGCGAAGAGAAUAUUUUCAUGCCGAAGGACAACUGCACCUUCUCUAUCAGGAACACACAGGGGCGGCUGUUUGGGCUUUGAAGAGCAUUAUCAAGUCACACAUUUCUCAAUGCCAGUGGGCAAACAGGGGAAGAAUGAAAGCCAGAGCCUGUAAAAGGAAUCGCUGGACGGCUCGAGGAGUGUAUAAAAUAUGCUCUAGAAUUUUCAGCCUCCUGCAGUGCAAGUGAUUAGCUAAAGAAACACUUUGAACCUGUUAGUUGUACAUCUUUUAAACCAUUUUAAAUUAUGGAAAAGACAGUGCUCAAGAAAUUAAUUAAAGUUUUGGACAAUAAUGCAAUCAGGGAUAUCUGUGUUUGCAGUCUUUUCUCUCUGCUUGCAUACAUCUUUCUCUGUCAAGUACAUCAAACAGCUAAUUAGCCCCAUUUUAAGAGCUUCACUGCUCACAUCACUUAAAAGGAUCUCCAGGCUGCCUUCUUAGAGAAUUCACGCUUACUGUGCAUUGGUUUCCUGAAUGCUUCAUAGACUUGGAAAGAAUCUAUUCCCACACAUUGGAGGAACUUUAGAAGUAGAUGGACUUUUUAUUUCCACAAAUCAAUUUUGCUUGUUUUCUCACUCAUGGUCAACAUUUUAUAAAUACUCUUGUAAGGGUUGAUAAACCUAUUUCACCUGGUAUGUGCUUGUUUUAGUUAAAUACCCUUGGGUUUGCUGAAGACAUCUGAAAAACAUUAGAAUGACUGCUUUUUAUUAAGACAUGUGGUACCAGAAAAAAAUUACGAGAGACGAAACUGUUGCUUUCAUUUAGGAUAAAGCGUUACCAUGACAAAAGUUGGGUGUUUCAAAUACCCAUUUUAGAAAUAACUACAGGUCACAUGAUCUACAGAUAUCACAUGUUAGCACAUGUUAAAAGUUAUAACCAUAACUAGAGACAGAAUUUCUGACUCACAGCUUCCAUUAAUCUGAACUAUCACAUGUCAUCUCAAGUUGACUAUAAAAAUAACUCAAGACGCCAGAGUGCUUCAAUUAACAGCUGAAAUAUUGUGAUAUUUUAACACAGGUGAUAUAAAGAAUCAGAGCCACGAAUAGAUACGUGGCUAUGAGUUAUAGCUGUUUCCUUGCAGGUUUAACGUGGAGGGCAAAUGCAGAGAACGCUUUCCCUACUCAUAAGCCCAUCAAGCGGGAUACAUGCGGUUGGUUGAGGGAGGAGUGGAGGUGGAUUACACGUCUAUGGUUUCUUGAUCAUCUAAAAAUAUGUAUGAAUAUGACCUGAGGCAAGAAAGGUGGCAGGUAGUUCAAGAACACCCAAGAUGUUUGAAAGAGAGACUCUGGUAUCUUGAGCAGAACAAGGUACCCAGAGGAACCAAGUAAACCCUUGUAAAAUAAGAACAACCGUAUUAGGAGAUAUCCAUGGUGAACUUGGUAUGGUUUAAGCAUGAUUUUAGAUGUUGUAUUUACAUCUUUUUUACAGUUUUAUUGAAACAGAAUUGACAUACUGCACUGUAUUAGGUUGAACGGUACAGCAUGAUGAUUCAAAAAUUCUAAAUACAUUAAUUCAUUGAAUCUUUACAACCACCUUUUGAGGUCAGUACCAUUAUUAUAUAUUAUCAUAAAUUUACCUAUGUAGACACUGAGCUGUAGAGAGUUUAAAUAACUUGUUCAAGGUCACAUAUCCACUAAAUGGUGGAUUUAAUUUUGACCCCAGGCAAUUGGGCUCUGGAAUGCUGCAUUCCUAAAAUCCUGAAGAAAGAAUAAAAGGAAGAAAUAAGAUGGGGAUGGGAAGAAGGGAGAGAAGAAAGAUAGAGGCUAGGAAAUAGCUAUUUGUUUAGGUGACACCUAAUACUACAAUUUUAAUGGAAGGUCAGAAUGUUUAAGGAGUAAAGGAAGGAAUGGUGGGAAGAAGAUUUCCCUGAGGAGUAUGAUAUUUGACCUAUGCUUUUGAAGUGAAUCAUGCUGGAUUUAAGACUUUUUUGCCUUAAAAUUUCAUUAAAACUUAACCCCUAACUAGUAUUAAUGCUUACUAAAGUAUAUUUUCAGACCAAGCAGAAAAUGAUUUCAACAAAAACAAAUAUUAUGGUUUCAAAGGAGAGGGAAUGAAAGCCAGGUUGAUACAUGAACUAUCCAAAUAAAGUGAAGAAAAAUAAAAACACAUGAACACUUAAAGUUUUACUCUUAUUUUACUAGGAGCAUGUUCCUAAGUCCCUAUAUUUCAAAAUUAUGCAGUCAAGACUUGAAGGUUGGCCUCAUGCAGUGUGCCUGAGAAGACCAAUAAAUAAAAAGCCAACUUCAAUGCUUAGCAAUAACACAAAAACAAAAUAUUUGUAGGGUGGUAGUUUACAGAAUGUGGACCUAUGUUUUACUGUGUUCUCUUUGGCUAAAUAAAGUUGUGAGAAACGAGUUUCCACUCCAUCUGGUUUUAGUGCUCUGAACUGGAGGUGUCUGAGCCUUGGGAUGUCUAAGCAAUGCAUAGUCAAAUAAGGGAUUUAGGGAUAGUUUGGGCUAGAGGCUACAUUAACUGUCAUUUAAUGCAACCAUCUGACUUUAUGUAUUUAUUUUCUAGGUAAUUAAAAAUUUUUAAAAAUUUUUAAAUUAAAUAUGUUUAUUCUACAAUGUUAUAUUAGUUUCAGGUGUACAGCAAAGUGAUUCAGUUAUACAUAUACACAUAGCUAUUCUUUUUAAGGUUCUUUUCCAUUAUAGGUUAUUACAAGAUACUGAGUAUAAUUCCUUGUACUAUACAGUAGGUCCUUGUUGUUUAUCUGUUUUAUAUAUACUACCUGUAUCUUCUAAUUCCAAACUCCUAAUUUAUCCCUCCCCCAACCCCUUACACCUUUGGUAACCACAAGUUUGUUCUCUAUGUCUGUGAAUCUGUUU
rnacentral:lncRNA from 1 species